CCUGAGGGUUGUAAAGCACUUUCAGUGGGGAGGAGGUUGCGUAGGUUAAGAGCUAACGUAAUGGACGUUACCCACAGAAGAAGCACCGGCUAACUCCGUGC
rnacentral:rRNA from 1 species